rnacentral:rRNA from 1 species
UACAGAGGGGGCAAGCGUUGUUCGGAAUUACUGGGCGUAAAGGGCGCGUAGGCGGCCUUCUAAGUCGAACGUGAAAUCCCCGGGCUCAACCCGGGAACUGCGUCCGAUACUGGAAGGCUUGAAUCCGGGAGAGGGAUGUGGAAUUCCGAGGUGUAGCGGUGAAAUGCGUAGAUAUCUGGAGGAACACCGGUGGCGAAGGCGACAUCCUGGACCGGUAUUCGACGCGU